AAUCAACGCUGGCGGCGCGCUUAACACAUGCAAGUCGCACGAGAAAGGGAGCAAUCCUGAGUAAAGUGGCGCACGGGUGAGUAACACGUGGGUUAUCUGCCCUCUGGUGGGGAAUAACCCUGGGAAACCGGGGCUAAUACCGCAUGAAUCCGAGAGGAUAAAGCCGAAAGGCGCCGGAGGAGGAGCCCGCGGCCGAUUAGCUAGUUGGUAGGGUAAAAGCCUACCAAGGCAACGAUCGGUAGCCGGCCUGAGAGGGCACACGGCCACACUGGCACUGAGACACGGGCCAGACUCCUACGGGAGGCAGCAGUGGGGAAUCUUGCACAAUGGGGGAAACCCUGAUGCAGCGACGCCGCGUGAGCGAUGAAGCCCUUCGGGGUGUAAAGCUCUUUCGGCAGGAACGAUAAUGACGGUACCUGCGGAAGAAGCUGCGGCUAACUACGUGCCAGCAGCCGCGGUAAUACGUAGGCAGCAAGCGUUGUUCGGAGUUACUGGGCGUAAAGGGUGUGUAGGCGGCUCCGUAAGUUCGGUGUGAAAUCUCCUGGCUCAACUGGGAGGGU
rnacentral:rRNA from 1 species